GAACGGGACCCGCAAAAGGGUGAGAACCCCGUUCGGUGGACGCCCGAACCUAUGUAAAGCUCCUUCCGAAGUUCGAGUAGUUUGGGAAUGCUUCUUAAACGGGAGGUAAACCCCUUCUUAAGCUAAAUCCCGGGCAGAACCCGAUAGCGCACAAAGUUAGGAAUGGAAAGAUGAAAAGCACUUUGAAAAGAGAGUUAAACAGCACGUGAAAUUGUUGAAAGGGAACCGCUUGUGGCCAGACUUGCGCCCGGCGGCUCAACCGUCCCUCGUGGGCGGUGCACUCCGCCGGGCUCAGGCCAACAUCAACUCGCUGCGGGGAAGAAAGGCGGUGGGAACGUUGGCUCUUCGGAAUGGUAUAGCCCCGCCCGCCUUGCCCUUCACGGGGCUGAAGGUUCGCCGCAAGGAUCUUGGCGUAAUGGCCAUCAACGACCCGUCUUGAAACACGGACCAAGGAGUCGUCCUUAACAUGCAAUGUUCGGGUGCAAAACCCCUACGCGCAAUGAAAGUGAACGGAGGUUAAAACUUCGGCGCAUCAUUGACCGAUCCUGAUGUUCUCGGAUGGAAUUGAGUAGGAACAUUCUUGGCCGGACCCCCAAAAAGAAGGCUAUGCUUGGAUAGGGCAAAGCCCGAGGAAACUCUUGUGGAAGGCUCCAACGGGUCUUACGUGCAAAU
rnacentral:rRNA from 1 species